GAACAAAUACAGAAAUGGGAUAUUAGAAUGGUAUCUGAAAACAGAGGUCGCAUUUUUAGAAAUAUGCCCGAAUUUUCUCCCAAUUCGUCUCCCCAGUUGAAGGGAGGAGGGUUACCAGAAAGUCUCAUUCAGCUAGUGCGUUGACCUUCUACAAAAGCAACCUAUAAAUACGUGGUCCAAUGUUUUACUCUUUCUUUCUGUGUUUCAUACUCUACAACAAUAUGUGUAGACUAGUGGGGCUUUUGGCUUCUUGAAGAACUGAGGGACCAGGGUAUUGGCUGCUCUCUGUGCGUGCCUGGAGAAGCCCAGCUGUAUUCCAUUGCGUUUCAGAUUAGCGCACUUAGUGGUGGUGUUCAAACGUAAGUGAGCUAGAAGAUAUUAAUGAUUAAAAGUAUGGCAGAUGCAGAAUUAGCUCAUGCGUGUCUUGGUGUAUUAACUUCCCUUUUUUCUUUCCAUCUUUGCGCAGCUUUGCUCAGUGUUUGUGACUGCCAGUGAAGUCUAUUCUCUAGUUGCUUACUGGAGAGAGAAGUUCUGGUAGCCUGGCUCAGCUAGCAGGUAUUAACAAAAGGACCGGUGCAGGCAAUCUGAUUCCUUGUUUUUGAACAGGAUGUGUACAGGAUGUGGAUUGAAAAACAUUGUGAACAGCAGAUCCUUUUGGCUGUUGAGCUUUCUGCACAAGGGAGUCAGUUUCUUAGAAAAUAGAUAGCUAUGCAGAAGGACAAGGAAAAUGGAGUACUUAAACCUGCUGAUGGCCUGUGUGAAGAACACCUCAAAGGUUACCACUCUGAUCCCUGUAAUCCAAGGAAGCUGAAUAAAAGGUUUUUCAGUGCAGUUGUGAUACUGGUAUUCGUCCUAGUGGUGCUUCCUGUUGUCCACACUUUUUCUUUGAGGAGUAUUGAGACCAAGUUUCUUUGUACUUAAAUAUGCUUUCAUUUAGUCUGGGAGGCAGAAGGUGGUUGCUUUCUCUCUCUUGGCAAUUUCUAGCAAUUACCCCAGCUGCUUCAGACUUUUGAAUCUGGAGUCCUGAUUAAGUAUCUGUUCUUUUGAACUUGCUAGCUUUGCUUCUCCUGCACUGUUGCAGCACAACUCGGGCACAAUUUGGAAAGCGUGGUUUCCUUGAAGCAUUAGGUGAACAGUGACACAAGAGUGAGUCAGCAGUGUGCUAAAUAUCUAAUAUCUUUUCACAAGUGUGUGCUCUCUCUUCUCUAAAUCUCUUCUUGCUACUUUCGUUGCUUUUUAGCCCAAUGAACAAAAUAAAAGAUUUUUUUUUCCUCAA